rnacentral:rRNA from 1 species
UACAGAGGUCUCAAGCGUUGUUCGGAAUCACUGGGCGUAAAGGGUGCGUAGGCCGCACGGUAAGUCAGAGGUGAAAUCCCGGAGCUCAACUUCGGAAUUGCCUCCGAUACUGCCGUGCUUGAGGACUGGAGAGGAGAUUGGAAUUCACAGUGGAGCAGUGAAAUGCGUAGAUAUUGUGAGGAACACUAGUGGCGAAGGCGAAUCUCUGGACAGUUCCUGACGCUGAGGCACGAAGGCCAGGGGAGCAAACGGA